rnacentral:lncRNA from 1 species
GAUUGCACCUGGGGCUCCCGUGGCCGGCGCCCAUCGAGCAGCCCAUCCUGGCUGUUCCCUUGUUCAGCUGAUUUUCUUUUUUAUCUUGACAUUUGCUAACCGCUUGGUUUUUAUUUUCCGGGAAGAGAGGAUUAUUGGCAACUGGCACCACCCCCAUGUCUGGAGGAGGGACGUUUCUAGGAUGACCCCCAGAGUGGAGAAAUAGCCGAGUUCAUUCAUCAGGAGGAAGGGGAGUCAUUCCAGCCUUCACUGCCUGUGGACGGCAACAACUUCACUGUGGAAGACGCCAGUAGAGUCUGGACACAGCUGACCGUAAUGUUUAUUCAAUCAAUGACUGGUUGCAUGGGCUUGAUCCACAAUGACUCAGCUUUCAGCCAUCGCAAUUGUGCUAUGCUCAGCUGUCAAGUGUGUUUUAAAUCUCCUACUACAUUUUUUUUAAAGUUUUUCUGCCAUCCUUUGUACUCCUUUUUAAAAACUUAUCCAGGAAGUGGUAUGAAAUCUCCAGUACUUCUCGGCACACACAGAUGCGUCUUUUUCUGUUUAUUGUUUUCCCUCUGAGAGUUGUAGUGUUCAGUUGGUUACACCAAGAGAAGUACUUGGCUGGGACUGUUAAAAAAAGUGUCACAAAGCAGCACCAAGGAGAAAACAACACUGUUUUCUGAAUGUUCGUGCUUGGAAUUUCUUUACUACAGGGAAAAUGAGAUGGGGGAGGGCCCUUCUUAUCUAUUUUCAGACAGACAUCUCACAAAUGCAUAAAAAAUAUAAUCCUUUUAGUUCCACUGGCCUUGUAGUUGUUGUAAAUGCAUCUUAAAUUCCUAAAUGAUUUUUAAAUUACAUUAUGUCUUUCAGCGGUGUAGGCUUUGAUUUCUGAGGCUGUUAGCCAGAUAUAGGCUUUAACAAACACUCAUGUUCUUUUGUCUUUAUGUCUUUAUUUUAAAAUUAUAUAUAUACAUAUAUAUAUGUAUGUAUGUAUGUAUAAGUAUCCAGUGAGUAUAAGAAAAAUAUCAAAGAGAAGAAUUUUUCUCAUUCUGUCUUCAAAUAGGUAAUACUUCACAAAUUGAUGUAUGCUCAUGGACAAUAGCAGGUAAUGCUUUUGAAACUGAAAGAUUUGUCUCUGAGUUCCAACAAUUGUCUUAGCAGACAGAGUUUCAAGGUCAUCAAAUCUGUAUCCAUUGGUGGCAUAGAAGAUGUCAAUCACAUUGCCUUUGAAUCAGAACCUAUCAUUGUCAAUACAGAUAAACUGCAGGUUAACUCUCUCUCUGUCUCGCCCCUGGAAACUAGGCUUAAUGUUUUGCCAAAAAUUGGGUAUUUGCUCUUGACCCUAGAGCAAAGGCUCUCACUUCAACAAAACUUUUCACUACUCUCCAGAAGAGCCAAGCCUCAUACUGAUGAGAAGAAGAGAAGGAAGAGAAAUGGGAAGCCGAUCAUUAAAAUAUUUUCCUGCAAGGGGAAGAAAACAACAAUUCUUAAGUGCCAAUAUGAGACAGGCACUAUACUGAGCACUUUGGAUGUGGUAUCUGUUUACAUUUAUUUGAAUAAUAAUCAGCAUAUAGAAAUUCAACAUAGAUUCUGCACCAUUUCUUUCAGUCCUUCUGGAUGGUUUUUCAUUUGUAUUUGUAAUAACUUGAAAGUUACUUAAUCUCUCAUUAAGUUGCUGAGGUAUGCUUUUUAACAUAAUAUUUGCAUAGGCCAUGAACCAGAAUGAAUAAAAGGAAAAUCCCAAGAUCUAGAACAUUGUUUUAGAAUUGAUGCCUACCCAACACUUUGUCCUGAGUUUACUUAGCAUAUAGAAAGGAGUUACAUACACAAUGAACAUUCGAGGACUGAAUUUUAGUUGAAGUAACUGAGAUGAGUAAACAAAAAAUGCCAGAAGCUCACUGCCUCCUCCACCCCCACCACACCUGAUGCAGUCCAGAGGCAAAUUUCUUUGUUAAUCCACUUAUUUGUGUUAUUUUUAUGUAUUUAUACUUAUAGUACGUAGCAUAUCUAAGCUCAUGUCUGUCUUAGGAAUUGGAAUUUUAGCAGGCAGAGAGAUCAUCACCUUAACUCUGUGGUGUUCAAUCUUUUAGCUUCCCUGGGCCACAUCACAAGAAGAAAAAUUGUCUUGGGCCAUACAUAAAAUACACCAACACUAAUGAUAGCUGAUGAGCUAAAAAAAAAAAAACCUGUCAAAAAUAUCAUAAUUUUUUUCAUUGCUUGAGCAAUUUUUUUAUUAUUAUUAUACUUUAAGUUCUAGGGUACAUGUGCACAACGUGCAGGUUUGUUACAUAUGUAUACAUGUGCCAUGUUGGUGUGCUGCACCCAUUAACUUGUCAUUUACAUUAGGUAUAUCUCCUAAUGCUAUCCCUCCCCUCUCCACCCACCCCACGACAGGCCCCAGUGUGUGAUGUUCCCAAAAAUAUCAUAAUGGUUUAGGAAAGUUUACGAAUUUGUGCUGGGCUGCAUUCAAAGCCAUCCUGGGUUGCAUGUGGUCUGCAGGCCCCAGGUUGGACAAGCUUGCCUUAAAUGAAGUUUACAAAUAGUUACAAUUAUGUUUAGUGCUACAGAUUAGAAGUAUAUGCUAAUAUGUAAUUGAUAUGGUUUGGCUGUGUUCCCACCCACAUCUCACUUUGAAUUAUAAUAAUCCUCACAUGUCAAGGGUGGGGCCAGGUGGAGAUAAUUGAAUCAUGGAGGCAGUUUACCCCAUACUACUCCCGUGGUUGUGAAUAAGUCUCAUGAGAUCUGAUGGUUUUAUAAAUGACAGUUUCCCUGCACAAGCUCUCUUGCCUGCCGCCAUGUAAGAUAGGACUUUGCUCCUCAUUCAUCUUCAGCCAUGAUUGUGAGGCCUCCCCAGCCAUGUGAAACUGUGAGUCAAUUAAACCUC